rnacentral:lncRNA from 1 species
UACUUUAUGCUGGGCCCUGGGGAUACAAAGACAGGAAAAAAGGAGGCCUCCUUUCUCAAGGAAUUCAGUCUAUUGGGGAGAACUGCUAAGGGAACAGAAAUUUAGACGUCCUAGGGACCGAGUGUUCCACUCCACAGGGGAGGAGCGGAGGGCUCAGAGGCGCUAAGGGACCGAACUACAGUUGAGUGACAGGGCCCCAAUUGCACCCCAAAUCUGCUACCUUGGGCUCCAAGGAUGUGCUCCCUCACACACACGCAUUAUUAUACCGUCAUCACUGUCAUCCUCCCUCCGUUCUAUUUUUUUUAAGAUCCUAUAUGAAUUCAAUUUCUAGCCUUGGGUCCAAAAAAUCAUCCCCUUUGGUAAACAGUUGUAGGUCAGGAAAGCAAAGUGUGGGAGCCUCUGAUACAAAUCUCUGAAGGCCAAGGGCACUGCCACCAUAUGAGGAGAGAUAAGGGCUGCUAAUGAAGCCAGAUGCCUGGGUCCUCACAGCGUGCCUGGCACCUGGGGUACCUUCCUGUGGAAUGCCACAUUGAAGCUUCCGGUGAAGUCUUCGUGGCUGAUUGAUUGGGUGGCUGACUGGGUGGUUGUUUAUAAUACCUUGUUUUAUUCCAGAAAGGAUUCGAGAUGGACUGAGACAAUGCAUUCUCUCCCACGGGGGGCGGGGAAAGGACUCAGCUGCAUUUACCCGCUCGUCAUUCAUUGCUCUGUUCAUUGAACAGUCUCAUCCCCGGGUGUUGUCUACAGGUGGAGGGCCAGUGCUCACAGGCUGACUCUGGUCCACGGCUUCUUAAGCACCCCAGGCCCUUUGACUGGAAGGUCCAGGGAGGUGGAAUUCAUCUUGGCCAGGUUCCUUAGCCCAGCCCCACCCUGCAGAGGCUGGGUGCUUGGAUUCUCUGUGCUGGUGACUGGGGCAAGGGAGCACAGAGGAGGCGGGCACUCGGCAGAGCCAGAGCAGCAUCCUUCCUCUUCGCAGGGCUAAAUAUCUCCAAGAGGAGGUCCUGCAGGGAUCACAGUCUGGGUCAGAGCCCACCAGUCUGCUGGCCAAAGUCGGGACAACUCUAUCCUGUCACCAGCUGGCUUCCCUGGGCUCUGGGCCACUGGCCUCCAGCCAUGGGCCAGGCACCCAGCCAUGCCAGGGAGCCAAGCAGUGCUGGCAUGGAGCAGCCCUGUAACAUUCUUAUAGGCCUCGGAAGGCUGAGAUGGAACCAGGACACACUAUAGAAAUUAUGUCUCCAUCCUUAGGCCCUGCCUCUUGAGCUCCAUCUCAGCUCUCCUUCCACUCUGCUAGCUUUGCUAACAUCUCUUCAGCCUUCAAAACCCCAACUACUACCUCAUCUGGGAAGCCUUCUUGACUACCCCACCUCCAUCACGACCACUUUGGAGUUCACCUGCCCUCCUCCGGGCCUCCUGGGCCUCACACAGGCCUCAGUCAGCCCCCAUCACCCGCUGUAGGGCAAGUAACCUGUCUACACAGCUGCUCCUCCUCGGCACUCUGAGCACCUUCAAGGUGAGGCUUGUUUCUGUCAUUACUGUAUCCCUGUGCCUGGCCCACAGUAGAGCAUCAACUACCAUUUACAGACCUGAAUUUGAGCCCCGUCCUAGGGGGCCCACCUCAUCCUGGCUUUCCCAGGACUUCCCCAGUUCCAGCAAGUCCUACGUGUGGGAAACCCCUCAGCCCUGGCCAACCAGGGUGGCUGGUGGCCCUACUCUAUGCCUCCUCUCCGGGAGCUGGGGUUACAGUCCUCAGAUAAGGUCUAACGAUCCAGAGAGUUCCAGAAUGGAUUCAUGUGACUUGGCCUUUUUGGAACUGGACCACCUUGGAGAUCAUCUGGGAGAGGGCACUGAGACCUGCAGAAAUGGAAUGGCCUACCCAGGACACAUCUAGAAGAUUAAGAGACACUGGGGUAACAUAGGGAUGCUGGACUGGGAGUCCUAGACCUCCUGGUCCUGGCUCUACCAUGACGCAUGCUGCCCUGCUGAGCCCACGCCUUUGCCCCUGGGACGCAGAACAUGCCAGGCAGGCAUCUCCCACCUGCCUCUCCAUGCGGGCAGGGAGACUAGCCCUCACUGAGUCCCGAGCUCUGGGACACAAGCUUUACCUCCCUCGUUUUAUUUGAUCCUCCCAACAAGCCUGUGUCAUCUUACAGGUGAGAAAACCGAGGCCUGGAGAAGUCCAAGAAUUCUCCUAAACUCAUCUAGCUAAUGGUAGUGCUGGGUUUCAAACCAGCUUCCUCUGACUCCCAAGCCCAAGCCCUCUCCAUUCCACCAACAGGCCCCUGAUCUCUGCGGCCCAGGUUCCUCCACAUCUAGCUCUCCUGGGACCUCAAGGUAGCAGACGUCAGUGCGCGUUGCUGCUGAGUCCGGUGCUCACCAUUAGGCAGACAAGGAGACCCGAGUGGUGCAGGCCUGAGGCCCUCCACACUAAGGAAGGCGGGCGUAAGCAGAGUGGGGAAGAGGCCACUGUCGACAGCUCUCCUCUGGGGCACCGAAUCUCAGGGGCACAACAAAAGAGAGGGAGCUGUUUAAUAAUUACAGCUGUCUUGUUCAGAGUGACAGGGAGAGAAAUAUUGCUGGGGAGGAAAGCAUAAAAGAAAGAGGCAAAGGAGGACUGGAGUAGCCUUCAGGGAGGGUUGCAUGGAGCCAAGGAGGGCGCGAAGGUCCAUGGUGAGCCCUGGCGUCCAGCAGGUGAGCCUCCUGCUGCCUGCUGCUUUCCUCCAUCCCGCACCCCUCAACAGCUGCCCCGGAUGCUGCAUGUCUGCAGGCCACAGGCCUGCUCCCAAGGAUGCCCGCGUCCACGCAGGAGGAGCAGGGACCCGCCCUCCUCUCUCGGAUCUCUGUUCUUUUUAUAACCAAGCUUGCAAGCAGCAAGGGAUAAGCUGAGCCAUUAGAAGGGUCUCACCCCAGCUCCUGUCUUGGUCCCUGCAGCUGGUCAGAGGCUUCUGCAGCCACUGGAACAUUGCUGUCUGGACCCUGCCCCCACCCCCAGCAGCCUGGGCGGUCCACUGCUUUACCUCAUCCCGUUUCCAUGAAUACCGGGUGCUCAGCAAGGACAGGGGAGCCCACUGAUGGAACCCUGAGGGUCUCCUCUCUAGUUGUGAGCCAGCUUCGAAGGUGACAGAUGAGCUAAUUAACCCCAGGAGCCACCAGGCCCGCCCCUCCCUGUCUUGUUCAUCCCAGCUCCUCCCAACCCAUCUUUCUGGCCCAGACCCCGUAUCUUCGUUGCAGCCUCAAAUAGCUGUGUUUCCGAAAUGUAAAGUGCGGUUUCUCUUCUAAUUACAAAAAUAACAGCUGACAAACACGUGCCAGAGCUCCCCUCUUUUUCUCCUGAGCUAACAGCCCCAUUAGGACAGAUCCUGUUAUCGUCUAUGCCCUCUCCAUAUAUUUUAUGGAACAGCCUCAAAAGUGCUCUGCGUCGGGCUCUCCCUCCCUCUCUUUCUUUUUCAAGGCAAUGGCUUUGUGAAAGCUGAGGGGAA